rnacentral:rRNA from 1 species
UACGGAGGGUGCGAGCGCUGUCCGGAAUCAUUGGGCGUAAAGGGCGAGUAGGUGGCUUGGUAAGUCUGUGGUGAAAGCGCGGGCUCAACCCCGCGUCGGCCGUGGAUACUGCUAGGCUCGAGCACUGUAGAGGCAGGCGGAAUUCCGGGUGUAGCGGUGGAAUGCGUAGAGAUCCGGAAGAACACCAGGGCGAAGGCGGCCUGCUGGGCCAGUUGCUGGACACUGAAUCGCGACGAGCGUGG